UGUGCCAAGUGGAGCAGUGUAAGUGGACAGUCAUAUCUGAGUUUUGGGGGUGGAGUAGGAGGUGGAUCAUGUCCUGUGAGAUCUCAUAGGUUUACUCGCUCUUUACCAGAUAUGUCUGUUGUUGUUUUUUCCCCCAGACGUACAGACGUAACUAGUACGUCUGUACGACUCUACAGUGUUUCAAGAAAGCACAGAUUAUUUCACUAAUACAGAGCCAUAUCGAUCGAAUACCUUUGAUUUAACCUCUGCCUUGAUUUCUAACUGAGUUUUUGCACGUAGUCAAGUAGAAUGAGAUCUCAAAGCAAUAUGUGCACUUUGAGACGAGCGUGUGUGUGUGUGUGUGUGUGUGUGUGCGCGUGAGAGUUCACAUUAACAUUUGCGAUGGACUUCAGCCACACGUGUCACAGUGGACUUGUUUACUUCACACUGCAGUGGAAUUUAUACGGUAGAAUUUUCCGUAAGGAGGUGUUUAUUUACAAUAAUAAUCACGGAAGGAGUCUCCAGUGUCAGGAUGACGUGUCCAGAAAGAAAGGACAAUAUGUGUUGAAAUAAAAUGAUUGAAAUAAUGACUUUUUUUUUUUUUUUGCUAUCGGGGUGUAGCUUGCGACUCUGAUGCGACUACACUCUCAGAAAGAACGUGUGAAUAUCCUACGCACUUUUUGCGUUAUUACUAUUUCAACACGUGUGACGGACACGAGAUGUGUUAAAUGACGUUGCGGACGUCAUCAUACGACUCUGAACUCGCCUCGAGGUGAAUGCUAUUUGCUUUGAGCUUUCGAUCGUGACCGCGGAGGCGGAUUCCUGAGGUGAGGAAACCGAAUGGCCACUGCUUUUCAAACAGAAGGGAGCGGGCCUCCCAGAUGGCCGGGAGAUUCGUAAGAAGACGCAUCGACUCCAGUUCUUACAUCUGUCAAAACGUUUGAACGAUCUUAAUAAACGUCGCCUGAAUUUCA